GAAUACUUCAGUCAGUAGAGCAGGAAACUCUUAAUCUCGGGGUUGUGGGUUCGAGCCCCACAUUGGACA